rnacentral:rRNA from 1 species
UACGUAGGGUGCGAGCGUUAAUCGGAAUUACUGGGCGUAAAGCGUGCGCAGGCGGUAAGUUAAGUCUGAUGUGAAAGCCCCGGGCUCAACCUGGGAAUGGCAUUGGAAACUGGCUUGCUAGGGUGUGGCAGAGGGGGGUGGAAUUCCGCGUGUAGCAGUGAAAUGCGUAGAGAUGCGGAGGAACACCGAUGGCGAAGGCAGCCCCCUGGGCCGACACUGACGCUCAGGCACGAAAGCGUGGGGAGCAAACAGG